UUUCUAGUGGCGGACGGGUGAGUAACGCGUGGGUAACCUGCCUUAUACAGGGGGAUAACAGUUAGAAAUGACUGCUAAUACCGCAUAAGACCACAGCACCGCAUGGUGCGGGGGUAAAAACUCCGGUGGUAUGAGAUGGACCCGCGUCUGAUUAGCUAGUUGGUAAGGUAACGGCUUACCAAGGCGACGAUCAGUAGCCGACCUGAGAGGGUGACCGGCCACAUUGGGACUGAGACACGGCCCAA
rnacentral:rRNA from 1 species